rnacentral:rRNA from 1 species
GGCGGCGUGCUUAACACAUGCAAGUCGAACGGAAAGGCCCUGCUUGCAGGGUACUCGAGUGGCGAACGGGUGAGUAACACGUGGGUGAUCUGCCUUGCACUUCGGGAUAAGCCUGGGAAACUGGGUCUAAUACCGGAUAGGACCAUGCUUUAGUGUGUGUGGUGGAAAGUUUUUCGGUGCAAGAUGAGCCCGCGGCCUAUCAGCUUGUUGGUGGGGUAAUGGCCUACCAAGGCGACGACGGGUAGCCGGCCUGAGAGGGUGUACGGCCACAUUGGGACUGAGACACGGCCCAGACUCCUACGGGAGGCAGCAGUGGGGAAUAUUGCACAAUGGGCGCAAGCCUGAUGCAGCGACGCCGCGUGGGGGAUGAAGGCCUUCGGGUUGUAAACUCCUUUCGCUAGGGAAGAAGCCACUUGUGGUGACGGUACCUGGA